rnacentral:tRNA from 1 species
UCCCUGGUGGUCCACUGGUUAAGACUCAGCACUUUCACUGCCAGGGGCCCGGGUUCGAUUCCUGGUUGGGGAA